GACAGAGGUGCCAAGCGUUAGGCGGAAUCACUGGGCUUAAAGCGUGUGUAGGCGGAUUUUGUAAGUACCUUUGUGAAAUCCCACGGCUCAACCGUGGAACUGCUCGGUAUACUGCUUUAUCUUUGAGCCACUUUAGGGGCUACCGGAACAAAUGGUGGAGCGGUGAAAUGCGUAGAUAUCAGGAGGAACACCGAUGGCGAAGGCAGGUCACUGGGCCGCAACUGACGCUGAGGAGCGAAAGCAUGGGGAGCGAACAGG
rnacentral:rRNA from 1 species